CAAAAGUAAUAGAGUCUGUUUAAAUGCACAUGACUAAAGCAGUUUCAAACACCCUCACUUGUUCCAAACAAUAUUUCAAGUAGCUUAGCCUCACAGAUUCAAAAAGGGCCAGAGUACUCUGCAGUUAGGGUCGAGUUGCAGAAAGCCUGAACCCUGAAGCGGCUCCUGAAACCAAGCGCGCGCGCGCGGGGCCGGAAACUUGUCUUUAAGCAACUACUACUACUAACUGAGUAAUUAAUUAAGCAAAGGCCAAGCGCGCACGAGAACAAAGGCAGCUGUGGCGACUGUCGAGCGAGACCAUCGAGCAGAUAAGAUUCUCCGUACCAAGGCCGGCGCGUGCGGAUUUUUAUUUUCUCACCAAGUUUCGGCGACCCCAUCAACCCUCCGCUUUGCAUCAGCUGCCUUCCUGUCUGGCCAUCUUCCUUUCCUUUUUCUUUUUGUACUUUGUCUUUGGAUUGGACACCGGCUUUAAUUUGCAAGAGAGAGAUCGAAAGGCCAUAUUUCCAUGACCAAUUCUUUGGCGUGCCCUGGCCCCUGGCUAGCUAGCUA
rnacentral:lncRNA from 7 species